AGCGAACGCUGGCGGCAGGCUUAACACAUGCAAGUCGAACGGGCGUAGCAAUACGUCAGUGGCAGACGGGUGAGUAACGCGUGGGAACGUACCUUUUGGUUCGGAACAACCCAGGGAAACUUGGGCUAAUACCGGAUAAGCCCUUACGGGGAAAGAUUUAUCGCCGAAAGAUCGGCCCGCGUCUGAUUAGCUAGUUGGUGUGGUAACGGCGCACCAAGGCGACGAUCAGUAGCUGGUCUGAGAGGAUGAUCAGCCACAUUGGGACUGAGACACGGCCCAAACUCCUACGGGAGGCAGCAGUGGGGAAUAUUGGACAAUGGGCGCAAGCCUGAUCCAGCCAUGCCGCGUGAGUGAUGAAGGCCCUAGGGUUGUAAAGCUCUUUUGUGCGGGAAGAUAAUGACGGUACCGCAAGAAUAAGCCCCGGCUAACUUCGUGCCAGCCGCCGCCGUAAC
rnacentral:rRNA from 1 species